rnacentral:rRNA from 2 species
UAGGGAAUCUUGGGCAAUGGGCGCAAGCCUGACCCAGCCACGCCGCGUGGAGGAAGACACCCCUAUGGGGCGUAAACUCCUUUUGUACGGGAAGAACGCUUUCCUCGGGAAAGUUUGACGGUACCGUACGAAUAAGCACCGGCUAACUCCGUGCCAGCAGCCGCGGUAAUACGGAGGGUGCAAGCGUUGUCCGGAUUCACUGGGUGUAAAGGGUGUGUAGGCGGGGCGGUAUGUCAAUGGUGAAAGCCCACGGCUCAACCGUGGAACUGCCUUUGAAACUGCCGUUCUUGAGUCUCGGAGAGGUCGCUGGAAUUCGUGGUGUAGCGGUGAAAUGCGUAGAUAUCACGAGGAACACCAGAGGCGUAGGCGGGUGACUGGACGAGUACUGACGCUGAGGCACGAAAGCGUGGGGAGCAAACAGG